GAUGUAGCUCAGUGGUAAAGCACUAGCCUAGGAGGUCUGAGGCCCUGGGUUCAAUUCCCAGUGCAUCA
rnacentral:tRNA from 1 species